CCUGAAGAAGAAAUAAACACUGUUGUGCUAAAUACGUUGAACAGGGAGACCACAGAAAAUUUCAACAGUUGAUGACAUGAACACUGUGAGCACUCCAAAGAGGCAAACAAACGAUUAGUGACAUCAGAGCAACAACCCCCAGAGGGCAGGAGUGAAGGUACCGCAAGCUUCUGUUGGAAAUAGUAGCAGAGGACUUGAUGACCAAAAGUACAGAACCGCCACCAGAAGAUGCAAACGACUUACUAGCAACAAGAAUCAGAAGGCCCGGCUGGCAUUUGCGAAAAACUAUGGAGAUGUGCCUCAAAAGUGCUGUGACAGUUUUAAACACCACUUAGUCAAAGAUUAGGUUUUGCCAUAAAGAUGGAAAGGUUAAAGUUCGGAGAACGAAAGGGUCUGCUCAUAAUUCCAAACAUACAAGCUCAUUGUGAAACACAGUGGAGGUAAUGUCAGGCAUAGUUUACGCUUGAAUGGCUUCUCGGACGAGCUCAAUAAUCUUUAAUGAUGAUGUAAUACAUGAUCAGUUGCAAAAUAAACUACAGAAACAUUUUGUCUACCAAUUUAAAGAAUAAUGCAUCCAAACUGAUUGGCAGAUCCUUCAUCAUGCAGAAUUGCUAAGUCGCGACACACUUUUAUUGAAGAACAAUAAAUAAAAUGCAUUGUUAAAAAGUAGCCUUUGAAAACAUAUGUAUAUCAUUUUUUUUAAAACAGAACUCCACACACUUUCAUGUUCAAAAUGCCUUUUAGGGCACCUGGUUAAGAAGCUGAGGAUGAACAAAUAAAUACAUUUCUGCUGCCUGCCUGUCAAUACAAUGUUACUUUCCAAAUAAAAGGCAACUCUAACCAGGGAUGCAUGUAAAAUACAGUGGGUACGGAAAGUAUUCAGACCGCCUUAAAUCUUUCCCCCUGUGUUAUAUUGUAGCCAUUUGGUAAAAUCAUUUAAUUUCAUUUUUUUUCCGCAUUAAUGUACACACGGCACCCCAUAUUGACAGAAAAAAAAUAGAAUUGUUGAAACUUUUGCAAAUUUAUUAAAAAAGAAAAACUAGUAUUCAGACCUUUUGCUCAGUAUUUAAUAGAAGCUCGCUUUUGACCUAAAACAGCCAUGAGUCUUUUUGGGAAUUUUUCACUCCUGAAUUUUGGCAUCCUCUGCCAUUCCUCGUUGCAGAUCCUCUCCAGUUCUGUCAGGUUGGAUCGUGAACGUUGGUGGACAGCCAUUUUCAGGUCUCUCCAGAGAUGCUCAAUUGGGUUUCAGUCAGGGUUCUGGCAGAAAUCUUUUUGUAACCUUAGUCAAAUCUGUACCUUGCCACAAUUCUGUCGCUGAGCUCUUCAUGCAGUUCAUUAGACCUCAUGAUUCUCAUUUGUUCUGACAUGCACUGUGAGCUGUAAGGUCUUAUACAGACAGGUGUGUGGCUUUCCUAAUCAAGUCCAAUCAGUAUAAUCAAACACAGCUGGACUCCAAUGAACCUACUAAAGGAUGAUCAGAAGAAAUUGACAGCACCCAAGUUAAAUAUAUGAGCGUCACAGCAAAGGGUCUGAAUACUGAUGGCUGUGUGGUAUUUCAGUUUUUCUUUUUUAACUCAUUCCCUGCCAAUGCCGUCUAAAGACGUCAAUGCCGUUGUUUAAUGGGGGAUGGGUGGGGGAGAGUCUUGUGCAGUUUAUGUGUGAUUGUCAAGCCUCGGGAUAACUGCAAUGAGGAUUGGCACCCUGUAGAGGGCAACAAUGCCUUCACCUGAAUGUCCCUCGCUCAGAAGAAGAAGAGGAAGAAGAAGGAGGGGGCGGGCCGGCGAGGUACAAGAGACAAUGAGAAGAGACAAACAUAAUGGUGGAAAAGAGAGAAGACAACAUGAAAAAAAUCUUAAAAAAAAAAAAAAUCUUUCGGUACAAGAAAUUUAUUGCGCCAAGGCAAGAAUAAUAUUCCUGCGACCGACAGGAAUGACACCUUAGAUCAUGCAGGGAAUAAACGAUGGCGCGCCAUGUCAGAAUGUCGCUCCGAGCGAUUGCUUUGUUCCAAAGCUAUCGCUCAAAAUGCUGGCCCAUACAUAUGGCGAGAUCCUCCCAGCCGCUUGCCAGCUGAUUGUCUCUCGACCAGGAUUUGAGUAAAUAGGAUCCGGAAUCGUGAUGAGUGAACUCCUUCUGGAUAGCCAGCCGAACUUCAUUACGAGCAUCCUUCGACGAAGUCCGACGAAGUCGAAGGUAACUCAUUUGCAGCUCGCGUUAGCUACAUUUAGCGAGCAAACACUCUCCUUCAAUCCUUGUUCCAUAAAAACAUAAUUUAAUCCCACUAGUUCACAUUAUAAUAUAACAUCUGUUGCCAGUGCUGAUUAGAAUUUUCCAUUUCGUUAAUCUUGCAGGAAUUCAACACCUACGAGUCGAGCGUCUUUUAGGAUUGCGACAAAGAAAAGUUAUCCAUCCAGCAGACGUUCCCAUUUCCCAUUCCAGUACACAAUGCAAAAAAAAAGGUUGUACUUCAAGCAAAGGUAGAGACUGGUUUCAAAGAGAAUGACAACCACACAAGAUAUUCUGUUCACUGCCAACAGAAGAAUAAAAUCCAUAUGUGGAUCAAACUGCUAGAUUUUAUGUGCAAGUUAAUAAAAACCUGGACUAUUGAGCAAACGGUCGAGGACGAGAAUUUGGAGGGAAAAAAGUGCAAGUGUGGAACCCCAUUUGUUCAUGCAUUUCGGUCUAAUGUAAAUUCUGUACAUAGUUAUACUUGUAAAUAAAUAAUUUUUCUGUCAAAAGUACUUUCUCAGUGUUGUUUUAUGUUCAGAUGUUGAGAUUUUCAUGAAAGAAAAAAAAUAUUUGUGUCAAAGUCAUGGUUCUGCUUGAUAACAGAUAACUAGCAACCCUUUAUUGCUCAGUGACUGUUUUUUUCUUUUUUGUCAAUGUCUUUAUGUCU